GCACUUAACUCUUGAGAUUCCAUUUCACAAAACGAAACACUGGUUAAAGUCAAUGUCAGUGCUGCGGAGAGUGAGUGGGUUUUUGUGCUGUCGGUAGUCUCAACGAAUAGAAAGUGCUGAGAGCACACCACGUAAACAAGCCGUGUAGUGAUAUUUAUCCAAAUAGCACGCACCAGCACUCAUAACUGCGCCCUUAUGUUCAAUGGUAGCAGCUGUUGAAAGUGUCCAUAUAAUUGCCAUUGCAAUAUUUUAUUCUAAAUGAAUGGCUAGUUAAAUCACUUGACAACUCAAAUGGGUCUAACAAUGAUGGUGAGACAAUCAUCAAGUAUUACUCAUCGCAAGCAUGAAACUCAGGCACUCCAGAAUAUUCAAUCCUUCAAGCAAUGAUUUCAUCACCAGCCCGACUAGUCCCUCCAUGUAGACUGCAGUAUUGACCAGGAGCUCCCCUGCUGCAGUCGGUGAAUACUUGUUACUCCUCAGUGUCGAGACUCUCUUUCAAAACACCUCCUCAGUGACUGCACAGCAUCAUCUAUAAAAUCUUCAUCAUAGACCGACUGACUGAUGCCCUAUUAAGGUGCUAUUAGGAGCUGUUUUGUAUGCAAAACAUCACACUGCAUUGUUUCAAAUUUUUUCUGGUCAGUGUUUUUCUCGGCAGCGAUGUAAGAUGAUCGAUGGUACUACUUAAUAAUGUAACACUUCUCUGGACAACCGAAGAACUCUUCUAUAUCAUAACACAUUACCUUACCAGCUGAACCACUUCUGCAUUUACCCUGUCUCUGCGUGCUUAUAUUGAGCAGCACCCUGCAUAGGUUAAAAAGAAAUCUGCGAAUCAUUCACACUCACUCAUGAAAUAUAUUUUUUCCUUAGGCCUUACUAGUGGACUCAGACUCGCUGCUCAUUGCAAGUCUGACAAGUCUGGUUCAUUUGAGAGGCAGAAGAAGGAGCAGUGGGCGAGGCUGCGGUCGUGAUGCAAGGAGGCCACAAAGCUCCUGUGGAGUGUCCUUCAGCUUCAGAACAAGAGCCUCAUAGUAGCCCCGUGUUGGAGUAUUUGUGCAUCAAGAGGACAAACAGGUGCCCCUGAACGGGGCCCUGACAGUGAGAAAUUUGGAGGUUGUGGCUAGUGAAUAUUGCUUAAAGAGGUACUGACGCAAAUUUUUGUCUUGCAAUAUUAACAUUGUUGACAGCCUAUUAGUCACAAUGUGGCGGAUUGCUUGCUGCAGCAUGGGACAGAUGGACAAUUGCUGUCUGUUUAUUACAGACUAGUUUUAUCUUGGCACAGCUCUGAGAACACGAGCCACGGAAUGCAACAAAUAUAUGCCAGCUAGUGUGCUAAAUGGUACACAUAAACGGGGCUUCCAGGUGUAAGCACUUGCACAGCAGGUCUAUCAAUAGUGAAAGUGGGCGGUGACAACCGACACAGUAAUCAAACCGCUGGGGCAAACAGCUCCCGCUCGGCGCUUCUGGCUUAAGAGAUGGUCCACUAUGGCGUAUUGUUCUUCUUCCUCCUUACACACAGAACACUGACGCACUUCCGUGCUGCCUGCGUUAUGUGCUCACAUUCUUUUGCUGCUGCAUAUGCAGCACAAUGUCGUUGUCGUCAAGUUGAUCGUUCUCGUUUGGGUGCAAAGAUUUUCUUGGGGCAUCCUCACGUUCCACAUGUUUACAUUAGGCAUGGACACAGCAGUCACUGAAUAGUAGCCUGCUAGCACAAGUGUGGCCAAAAGGCAACAACGACUAUGAUGUCAAUAAUGUAGCUGUGCCAACUCUGAGCUCGGCAACAAUGGUGGCACCUGGAAGUUGGGACUCAGCUUCAGGUCACUUUCAGUGAUUCAAUGAUGCGAGAUGCGGCAUAUAGCACUGGUUCAGGCACGCAAACUUUAAUAUUCAUAUAAUUGGCCAUCUGAGCUAUAAUUGUUCAUCCAAUUUGUAGAUAUACGCAUGUUCAAGGGAAUCGAUGUCGUAGGCUAUAUUAGCCACAAAAUUUUGUGUCAGUACUCUUUAUGGUAUUUUGCUUUAUGUUUUAACUUACAGUUAAACAAAUAACUAAAGUAUUUAGUAAGUGCUACAUGUGUUUGCCCAGUACUAAGCAAAUGGUUUUGCAAAAUUUGUGAAUCGGCCAGCAGAUAUGCAUGCACCUAGCAGGCUGAGAAAGAUAAACACACUUCCUUGCAAAAUGUUUGAUCAUAUAAAUAAAUUCGAGGAUGCAAAAGUA